UACGGAGGGCGCGGGCGUUACUCGGAAUUACUGGGCGUAAAGCGCGCGUAGGCUGUUGUGUAAGUUGGGGGUGAAAUCCCACGGCUCAACCGUGGAACAGCCCUUAAUACUGCGCGACUUGAAUCCGGGAGAGGGUGGCGGAAUUCCAGGUGUAGGAGUGAAAUCCGUAGAUAUCUGGAGGAACAUCAGUGGCGAAGGCGGCCACCUGGACCGGUAUUGACGCUGAGGCGCGAAAGCGUGGGGAGCAAACAGG
rnacentral:rRNA from 1 species